rnacentral:rRNA from 1 species
UACGUAGGUGGCAAGCGUUGUCCGGAUUUACUGGGCGUAAAGAGCGCGCAGGCGGUCGAUCUAGUCGCGUGUGAAAGCCCCCGGCUCAACUGGGGAGGGUCACGCGAUACUGAUCGACUCGAAGGCAGGAGAGGGUAGUGGAAUUCCCGGUGUAGUGGUGAAAUGCGUAGAUAUCGGGAGGAACACCAGUGGCGAAGGCGACUACCUGGCCUGUUCUUGACGCUGAGGCGCGAAAGCUAGGGGAGCAAACGGG